rnacentral:lncRNA from 1 species
AUGAGUUCAAAAAGCACUUUGACAGGAUUAUGCAGACUCCGCAGAGGAGGAGAAGAGACUAAAGAUUUUCAAAGACAACCUCGUCAAGAUCCAAAAUUGAAUUCAAAUCCCGAGGACACUGCCACCUACGGCCUCAACGACUUUGCUGAUAAAACCCCGGAGGAAAUGCGAAUGCGAUGUGGAUUAAGGAGACCAAACCAAUGACCAGGUGCUGAACACCGAAUUCAAAAAUCAUCUUAUCGUUUUAAAACUAACAAUUGUAUUCUAAGCAGUCAUUUAACUUUUCAAACUAUUGAAAUGUUCUUACAGUAUCAUCGGGAAUUCAGAAUUUUGUUUUAACACUUUAAGAUUCAAUUUCUUCUGAGGGAAAGGAGGGACGAAUACACCUUGUGAUUUUGGAAAAUAACGGUAGCUCCCAGAGAGAGAGCCUGCCUUUACCUGAGGCAUCAAUCAAAAGUUUUAAUAUUUUUACAAAAUAGCUUCUUGUACCUAUUAUUCUGUGCUGUAAAAGUGAAUUUCCCAAACUGAAUUUUGCAGCAGUCAAUGUUUACAAAGUCUUUGAACAGACAGACUAAAAUAAAGUAUAGCAGCAAAUAUAUGUAUAGCUUCAUAAAAUUAUACACCAUAACCGUCCACAAUUUGUAUCAAAUAAAAUAAUGUUACAAUUUUAAUAAAAUUUAUUUUGAUAUUCACUCCUCCUUUGGCAACUUUUCACAACCGAGAACUACUAUUUUUACUCAUCCACGGACGCACCGACUUGCAUGAGAAUACAAAUAGCACGUAUGCUGUCUGUGAAAUGAGCCUGAAAUAGAUGUAUUUCUGCCAAACAGAACUAUGUGCAUCAUAACGUGAGACCUGUUAUGGAUAUAUUCUUAUGGGUAUCAGGGCUCAUAUCUUAAUGCACAUAGUUCCGUUUGGCAGAAAUACGUCCAAAUGGUAGUUCCCUAUCGCGAAUUGUCUUCGUUUUCCAGCUCCACUUGUUCCCACUCGCAUGAAUCGAGUAAUGUAAAUGUAACUGAACAGAUUUGAAAAUGGAAACAUUUACUAACAAUAAGUAUAUAAUUAUAGCUUGAUCCCUCUUGUUGCAUCCAUGCAAUGAACAGAAAAAAUUAAUGCAUCACUGAGUUUCCGUAGGUAUGUGCGAAUGUAUAACCUUAUCAACACUUAUUUCAUGGGACGCAACAUUUUUUAUCCCUCGCUCUCUCACUGUUAUACUAGUUUCAUAAGUUUAUCGUUUAUUAAUGAAAACUACUGAGUGGACUAAGCACGAUAUCCUCGAUUUCUAAAUUGAAUAUCUAUUGAAAAAAUGAUGACAAAAUCAUCUGAUCUGCUGAAAUAAAUACAUGCGAGAAUGAAAAUGCCGCCCUGUGAUGUCACAUAAGGCGGUACCCUGCCUAUAUUUGCUCACUUUUAAAUCUAUUUUUCUCCGAUUCACCGGAUGCACCAGGAAAAAUUGCUCAGAAGCUCAUGAAGCUCUUUGAUAUGAAUUUUAUAAUUUUACACUGUUAUGCGUUUUU